UUCUAAGCUCAUCUUGUAUUUUCUCUGCCCCAGCGCUGGAAUGAGUAAUUUUUUUUAGAAGCAGAGGUGGAGCCACUGAGGAAGCACAGGCGAGCCCUCCCCAGCGUGUACUCACUGGUCCCCAACAGAAGAACAGCUGCUGCAUCCACUGAGGUACCAAGAAACUAGCAAAGGGCCUUCUGGCUCUCUGGGGACAGUCCUCAUGUGGUCCCUGGCUCAGCCUCAGAGGUUCUGGAUUAGUCUUCCUGUAGCCUCUGUGCUGUGUCUUUAGAUCGGGGCUCUGUGGGAAGGGUCCUGGGAGACCCAACAGCACAGUGUGUCUCAUCUGCCAAAUGUCC
rnacentral:lncRNA from 10 species